AGAGUUUGAUCCUGGCUCAGAACGAACGCUGGCGGCGUGCUUAACACAUGCAAGUCGAACGAGAAGCGAUCCUUCGGGAUGGUGGAGAGUGGCGAACGGGUGAGUAACGCGUGGGCAAUCUACCCUCGGGUGGGGGAUAACCCUUCGAAAGGAGGGCUAAUACCGCAUAUCCAAUAACGUCAUAAGGCGUUAUUGAAAAUCUUUCGAGAGCCUGAGGGGAGCUUACGUUCUAUCAGCUUGUUGGUGGGGUAAUGGCCUACCAAGGCGACGACGGAUAGCUGGUCUGAGAGGAUGAUCAGCCACACUGGCACUGAGACACGGGCCAGACUCCUACGGGAGGCAGCAGUGAGGAAUAUUGCGCAAUGGGCGAAAGCCUGACGCAGCAACGCCGCGUGGAGGAUGAAGGCUUUCGGGUUGUAAACUCCUUUCAGGAGGGACGAAGUAGGUUGGGUAACCAAUCGGACGGUACCUCCAGAGAAGCCACGGCUAACUCUGUGCCAGCAGCCGCGGUAAGACAGAGGUGGCGAGCGUUGUUCGGAUUUACUGGGCGUAAAGCGUACGCAGGCGGUCUGUUAAGCAAGCUGUGAAAGCCCCGGGCUCAACCUGGGAAUUGCAUUUUGAACUGGCAGACUAGAGUCUUGUAGAGGGGGGUAGAAUUUCAGGUGUAGCGGUGAAAUGCGUAGAGAUCUGAAGGAAUACCGGUGGCGAAGGCGGCCCCCUGGACAAAGACUGAGCUCAGGUACGAAAGCGUGGGGAGCAAACAGGAUUAGAUACCCUGGUAGUCCACGCCGUAAACGAUGUCUACUCGGAAUUUGGUAACUUAGUUACUGGGUUCCCAAGCUAACGCAUUAAGUAGACCGCCUGGGGAGUACGGCCGCAAGGUUAAAACUCAAAUGAAUUGACGGGGGCCCGCACAAGCGGUGGAGCAUGUGGUUUAAUUCGAUGCAACGCGAAGAACCUUACCUACUCUUGACAUCCACAGAAUUUACCAAGAUGGUUUAGUGCCUUCGGGAACUGUGAGACAGGUGCUGCAUGGCUGUCGUCAGCUCGUGUUGUGAAAUGUUGGGUUAAGUCCCGCAACGAGCGCAACCCUUAUCCUUAUUUGCCAGCACGUAAUGGUGGGAACUUUAGGGAGACUGCCGGUGAUAAACCGGAGGAAGGUGGGGACGACGUCAAGUCAUCAUGGCCCUUACGAGUAGGGCUACACACGUGCUACAAUGGUCGGUACAGAGGGUCGCAAAGCCGCGAGUCAAGCUAAUCCCACAAAGCCGGUCGUAGUCCGGAUCGGAGUCUGCAACUCGACUCCGUGAAGUCGGAAUCGCUAGUAAUCGUGAAUCAGAAUGUCACGGUGAAUACGUUCCCGGGCCUUGUACACACCGCCCGUCACACCGUGGGAGUGGGCUGCACCAGAAGUAGAUAGCUUAACCUUCGGGAGGGCGUUUACCACGGUGUGGUUCAUGACUGGGGUGAAGUCGUAACAAGGUAACC
rnacentral:rRNA from 1 species